GCUAAUCCGUUAUAACAAGGAAGAGUAGUUAAAUUCAGCUUCAACAAAGAGAGCUUAGGGGUGGUGAGAUCCUAGCAAGAAGAAAUUUAAUGAAUGGACCUUGAAGGAAUAAAACGAAAUCUAUUUUUUAGAGAGUAGCAGUUAUGGCAAUCCCAGCCUUAUAGGGGAUAGAGUAUGUUAGUACUUGAAAUUGAGAGGUGCUUUUUUAUUUAAGCACAAUUUAGGUGGCAACGCGGAAGUUUCAUCCGUCCUAUGU
rnacentral:ncRNA from 1 species